rnacentral:rRNA from 1 species
UUUUGGACAAUGGGCGCAAGCCUGAUCCAGCAAUGCCGCGUGCAGGAAGAAGGCCUUCGGGUUGUAAACUGCUUUUGUACGCCCCCCAAGCGGUCCUGGUUAAUACCUGGGGCUAAUGACGGUACCGUAAGAAUAAGCACCGGCUAACUACGUGCCAGCAGCCGCGGUAAUACGUAGGGUGCAAGCGUUAAUCGGAAUUACUGGGCGUAAAGCGUGCGCAGGCGGUUUUGUAAGACAGGCGUGAAAUCCCCGGGCUUAACCUGGGAAUGGCGCUUGUGACUGCAAAGCUGGAGUGCGGCAGAGGGGGAUGGAAUUCCGCGUGUAGCAGUGAAAUGCGUAGAUAUGCGGAGGAACACCGAUGGCGAAGGCAAUCCCCUGGGCCUGCACUACGCUCAUGCACGAAA